GAAAUGCAAGCUGGGGAGGAGGGGGGACAAGGGCAGAGAGAAGAAAUAACUUGCCCAAGGUGAUGCUGGAAGUCAGUGGCAGAGGCGGGUUGCAAACCCAGGUCUCUGCCUCCCCCUGUUGCUUUGCCCACUGGCUCACGCCGCCUCCCAAGGAGCCAAAUCCAGCUCUGAUGCAAUGCCCCCUGAAAGCAGCAGGAGGACUUGCUGCUUAUGCCAAAGCGGAGUCUGCUCCAUUCAUUUAUUCACUAUUUACAGCCGCCUUCCGAUGCCAACCGACAGCGAGCCUCGAGCGAAGCCCUCGCGAUAAAUUGGCUGGCCCUGGACUGGGAUCGCUGAAACCGGUCAGAGACGGAGCCUGCAAACUGCUCCCGCAUGGAUCAUCCCGUGGAGAUGAAAUAAGUACAACUGUACAGAUGUGCUUUUCUAAGAUCCAGUGGCAUGAAACCUGAAAUACCCCAGCAAGAUUCAGGAGUGAGAAGUUUUAAUCACCAUGGAAGCGAGACACUUUUGAAGGUCUAUGAAAUUAUAUACCCAGCUCUGAGAACGGUAAACUUAUCCAUGCGGACAGAUCUGCUGAUAAACAGAUACAACCCA